GAUAGCCUUUCGAAAGAAAGAUUAAUACCCGAUGGCAUAGUUCUUCCGCAUGGUGGAACUAUUAAAGAAUUUCGGUCAUCGAUGGGGAUGCGUUCCAUUAGGUUGUUGGCGGGGUAACGGCCCACCAAGCCUUCGAUGGAUAGGGGUUCUGAGAGGAAGGUCCCCCACAUUGGAACUGAGACACGGUCCAAACUCCUACGGGAGGCAGCAUG
rnacentral:rRNA from 1 species